AAUAAAUAAAUAAAUAAAUAAAUAAAUAAUAAAGUAAAAUGCUGGGUUGAGACCGCUGGGUAGGACGCUGGGUUGUUUUAAUCCAAUUUUGUGUUGAAAAUUGGUCUUGAUCAUAACCCAGCGGCACUGGGUUGGGAAAGCGGACGUGAAAGAGAGCACGCAUGUCAUGUUAACAUCGGACGACGCCAGUGCGAGAAGCCGCCAUUUUCUCGGCCUGAAAGUGAGAAGAGUGAAAGACAUUAUGACUUGUUGAGCUUGUGUCUUGUGCCGGGAGUUAACUAACGUUACACAGAGGCCUGCUUUUGUGGGGGGGUUUCCUCAGCUUCUUCAGAAGAGCGGGAAUAGACUGUUUUAAGAACUCAAACCAACUUUUGAGUUGUCUGAUUUGGGGAGUUAUCAUUCUUGGUCUUCCUUUCUUAAAGGAAUAGUUCACACAAAAAAUAAUUUACUUGCCCUCAUGUCAUUCUAAACCUAAAAGACUUGUCUGUCUUUAGAAUACAAAUGAAUACAUUUAAUUUU
ensembl:lncRNA